rnacentral:rRNA from 1 species
GAUGAACGCUGGCGGCGUGCCUAAUACAUGCAAGUCGAGCGAACGGACGAGAAGCUUGCUUCUCUGAUGUUAGCGGCGGACGGGUGAGUAACACGUGGAUAACCUACCUAUAAGACUGGGAUAACUUCGGGAAACCGGCGCUAAUACCGGAUGAUCUUUUGAACCGCAUGGGUCAAAAGUGAAAGACGGUCUUGCUGUAACUUAUAGAUGGAUCCGGGCUGCAUUAGCUAGUUGGUAAGGUAACGGCUUACCAAGGCAACGAUGCAUAACCGACGUGAGGGGGGGUAGGGCGACAGAGGAGGUGAGAGACGGCACUGGCACCGAGGGGAGGCAGAGGUAGGGAAUGUACGGAAAUGGGGGGAAGCCUGCCGGAGGAACGCCGGGUGGGUGAAGAAGGGCUGCGGGUGGUAAAACGGUGUUAUGGGGGAAAAACAUUUGUGUAAGUAACGGUGCGUGUGUGAACGGAAUCGAUUCAGAAGGCCACGCCAAAUACGGG